AUCACCUCUCAGUGGCGCCCUACUCUGUAGAGCAAAUCACGACACGUGAAACGAAGCGUCCGCUUCCUCUGAGCGGAGGAUUCACCCCCCCAGAAAUCUACAAUUCUCGAAACGUUCACAGAUGUAACCAUUCCCCGUUUGUGCUUUACCCAACACUGUGUGGGUCGGCCAAAAAGCAGGAAUCCACUCUUUCAAAAAAAUCUCCACUACUUCUGUCGCUGCUGGUCACUUCAUCCUGGUCUGGCUCAACAUCAGAGCGCUCAGCAUAGCCAACGGACUCCAUUUCAAGAUCCUCAAAGUUCUCAAGAGAGCAUGAACAGCGACACGUACGUUUACUUGGUUUGUAUUCAGGAGAUGGAGGUGCAUGCAGCGCCACCUACAGUACUGGAGUGUGAGCCCAGUCACUGCAGGAAAGCAACUUCUUUACCCAAGCUGUUUAAAUGACGGGUCGCCACCUUCUGGUUCAACAAAGCUACUACACCCACUGCAUUCAACUUCACUGACGACUCUUCAAGACCUGAGCCCUAGGACCAUACGUCGGGACUACCGGCCGUGGUGACUCCUUGCUGCCCCCAGUCCGCCUGGCCUUGCUGCUAUUCCAGUUUCAACUCUUCUGCCUGCGGUUAUGGAACCCCUACCUGUCCCAGACCUGCUGUUUUCAACUCUUAAUGAUCGGCUAUGAAAAGCCAACUGAGAUUUAUUCCUGAUUAUUAUUUGACCAUGCUUGUCAUUUAUGAACAUUUUGAAAAUCUUGGCUCUCUCUAAUUUUCUCCUUCUCUCUUUCUUUCUCUCGGAGGACCUGGGCCCUAGGACCAUGCAUCGGGACUGCCGCCCGUGGUGACUCCUUGCUGUCCCCAGUCCGCCUGGCCUUGCUGCUAUUCCAGUUUCAGCUGUUCUGCCUGCGGUUAUGGAACCGCCACCUGUCCCAGACCUGUUGUUUUUCAACUCUUAAUGAUCAGCUAUGAAAAGCCAACUGAAAAUUAUUCAUGAUUAUUAUUUGACCAUGCUUGUCACUUAUGAACAUUUUUGAACAUCUUGGCAUAGUUCUGUUAUAAUCUCCACCCGGCACAGCCAGAAGAGGACUGGCCACCCCUCAUAGCCUGGUUCCUCUCUAGGUUUCUUCCUAGGUUUUGGCCUUUCUAGGGAGUUUUUCCUAGCCACCGUGCUUCUACACCUGCAUUCUAGCUGUUUGGGGUUUUAGGCUGGGUUUCUGUACAGCACUUCGAGAUAUUAUCUGAUGUACGAAGGGCUAUAUAAAAUAAAAUUGAUUGAAAUUGA